UACGGAGGGGGCUAGCGUUAUUCGGAAUUACUGGGCGUAAAGCGCACGUAGGCGGACCAGAAAGUUAGGGGUGAAAUCCCGGGGCUCAACCUCGGAACUGCCCUUCAAAACUCCUGGUCUUGAGUUCGAGAGAGGUGAGUGGAAUUCCGAGUGUAGAGGUGAAAUUCGUAGAUAUUCGGAGGAACACCAGUGGCGAAGGCGACUCACUGGCUCGAUACUGACGCUGAGGUGCGAAAGCGUGGGGAGCAAACAGG
rnacentral:rRNA from 1 species